GACGAACGCUGGCGGCGUGCCUAAUACAUGCAAGUCGAGCGAGUCUGCCUUGAAGAUCGGAGUGCUUGCACUCUGUGAAACAAGAUACAGGCUAGCGGCGGACGGGUGAGUAACACGUGGGUAACCUGCCCAAGAGAUCGGGAUAACACCUGGAAACAGAUGCUAAUACCGGAUAACAACAGAUGAUGCCUAUCAACUGUUUAAAAGAUGGUUCUGCUAUCACUCUUGGAUGGACCUGCGGUGCAUUAGCUAGUUGGUAGGGUAACGGCCUACCAAGGCGAUGAUGCAUAGCCGAGUUGAGAGACUGAUCGGCCACAUUGGGACUGAGACACGGCCCAAACUCCUACGGGAGGCAGCAGUAGGGAAUCUUCCACAAUGGACGCAAGUCUGAUGGAGCAACGCCGCGUGAGUGGAGAAGGGUUUCGGCUCGUAAAGCUCUGUUGUUGGUGAAGAAGGACAGGGGUAGUAACUGACCUUUGUUUGACGGUAAUCAAUUAGAAAGUCACGGCUAACUACGUG
rnacentral:rRNA from 1 species